rnacentral:rRNA from 1 species
GACGAACGCUGGCGGCGUGCUUAACACAUGCAAGUCGAGCGGUAAGGCCCUUUCGGGGGUACACGAGCGGCGAACGGGUGAGUAACACGUGGGUGACCUGCCCUCAGCUCUGGGAUAAGCCUGGGAAACCGGGUCUAAUACUGGAUAUGACUCCAUGACGCAUGUUGUGGGGUGGAAAGCCUUGUGCGGCUGAGGAUGGGCCCGCGGCCUAUCAGCUUGUUGGUGGGGUGAUGGCCUACCAAGGCGACGACGGGUAGCCGGCCUGAGAGGGCGACCGGCCACACUGGGACUGAGACACGGCCCAGACUCCUACGGGAGGCAGCAGUGGGGAAUUGUUCGCAAUGGGCGCAAGCCUGACGACGCAACGCCGCGUGGAGGAUGAAGGUCUUCGGAUUGUAAACUCCUGUUGCCCGGGACGAAUAGCUCCGACCUAACACGUCGGAGUCUGACGGUACCGGGUGAGGAAGCCCGGCUAACUCUGUGCCAGCCGCCGCCGU